rnacentral:rRNA from 1 species
GACGAACGCUGGCGGCGUGCUUAACACAUGCAAGUCGAACGGAAAGUCCCUGCUUUUCUGGUGUGCUCGAGUGGCGAACGGGUGUGUAACCCGUGUGUCUCCUGCCCUUCACUUUGGGAUAACUUCAGGAACCUGGCUCUAAUACCGGAUAGGUCCUCCUGCUGCAUGGUGUGCGUUGGAAAGUUUCGGCGUUUGGGGAUGGACUCGCGGCUUAUCAGCUUGUUUGUGGGGUAGUGGCUUACCAAGGCUUUGACGGGUAGCCGGCAUGAGAGGGUGACCGGCCACAUUGGGACGGAGAUACGGACGAGACUCAUACGGGAGGCAGCAGUGGGAAAUAGUGGAGAAUGGGCGGAAGCCAGAUGCAGAAACGCAGCGUGCGGGAUGAGGGCCAACGGGUAGAAAAACGCAUUAGGCUGUGACGAAGCGUGAGUGACGGUAAUGGGUAAAGAAGCACCGGCUAACUACGUG